rnacentral:rRNA from 1 species
UUGGAGGGCAAGUCUGGUGCCAGCAGCCGCGGUAAUUCCAGCUCCAAUAGCGUAUAUUAAAGUUGUUGCAGUUAAAAAGCUCGUAGUUAAAUUUCGGGGUCAGUAGGCUGGUCGUGCCACGGGUAUGUACUGGUCUUACUGAUUCCUCCUUCCUGAUGAACCGUAAUGCCAUUAAUUUGGUGUUGCGGGGAAUCUGGACUGUUACUUUGAAAAAAUUAGAGUGUUUAAAGCAGGCUAACGCUUGAAUACAUUAGCAUGGAUUAAUGAAAUAGGACGAUCGAUCCUAUUUUGUUGGUUUCUAGGAUUGACGUAAUGAUUAAUAGGGAUAGUUGGGGGCAUUAGUAUUCAAUUGUCAGAGGUGAAAUUCUUGGAUUUAUUGAAGACUAACUACUGCGAAAGCAUUUGCCAAGGAUGUUUUCAUUAAUCAAGAACGAAAGUUAGGGGAUCGAAGACGAUCAGAUACCGUCGUAGUCUUAACCAUAAACUAUGCCGACUAGGGAUCGGAUGAUGUUAAUUUUUUAAUGACUCUUCGGCGCCUUACGGGAAA